rnacentral:rRNA from 1 species
UACGUAGGGUGCAAGCGUUGUCCGGAAUUAUUGGGCGUAAAGAGCUCGUAGGCGGUUUGUCGCGUCUGCUGUGAAAACCCGGAGCUCAACUCCGGGCCUGCAGUCGAUACGGGCAGACUGGAGUUCGGCAGGGGAGACUGGAAUUCCUGGUGUAGCGGUGAAAUGCGCAGAUAUCAGGAGGAACACCGAUGGCGAAGGCAGGUCUCUGGGCCACUACUGACGCUGAGAAGCGAAAGCGUGGGGAGCGAACAGG